rnacentral:rRNA from 1 species
GGUCUUCUAGAUAGCCAUGCAUGUCUAAGUAUAAAUAGUAUACAGUGAAACUGCGAAUGGCUCAUUAAAACAGUUAUAGUUUAUUUGAUAAUUAAAUCUACAUGGAUAACCGUAGUAAUUCUAGAGCUAAUACAUGCUGCAAGACCUGACUUUUCGGAAAGGUUGUAUUUAUUAAAUCUCAAACCAAUAUUCCUUCGGGUCUAUUGUGAUGAUUCAUAAUAACUUGUCGGAUCGAGGCUGGCCCUCGAUAAAUCAUUCAAGUUUCUGCCCUAUCAGCUUUCGAUGGUAGUGUAUUGGACUACCAUGGCAAUCACGGGUAACGGGGAAUUAAGGUUCUAUUCCGGAGAGCGAGCCUGAAAAACGGCUAACACAUCUAAAGAAGGCAGCAGGCGCGUAAAUUACCCAAUCCUGAUUCAGGGAGGUAGUGACAAGAAAUAACAACUCGGGGGCUCACGCCUUACGAGAUUGAAAUGAGAACAAUCUAAACCCCUUAUCGAGGAACAAUUGGAGGGCAAGUCUGGUCCCCCCGCGCCCCCCCCCCGCCCGGGGAGCACCCCG